UACGUAGGUGACAAGCGUUGUCCGGAUUUACUGGGCGUAAAGAGCGCGCAGGCGGUCGAUCAAGUCGAGUGUGAAAGCCCCCGGCUCAACUGGGGAGGGUCAUUCGAUACUGAUCGACUCGAAGGCAGGAGAGGGUAGUGGAAUUCCCGGUGUAGUGGUGAAAUGCGCAGAUAUCGGGAGGAACACCAGUGGCGAAGGCGGCAUCCUGGACCGACACUGACGCUGAGGAGCGAAAGCCAGGGGAGCAAACGGG
rnacentral:rRNA from 1 species